GACGUCAUGGGGAAGGUAUUGGCCUUUCUUCACCUAUCCAUCCAGUUACCUGUCUCUACUCUAUUCUUAUAUUAAAACUUCCAUUCAGUCAAGAUUUUACCUUGGAGAGGUUGGAAAUGGUGCUGCCAUGAAACUUGUUGUCAACAUGAUCAUGGGAAGUAUGAUGGCUUCAUUUUCAGAAGGGUUGGUUCUCACUGAGAAAAUAGGACUGGACCCAAAAGUACUAGUUGAGGUGAUCUCACAGGGUGCCAUUAGCU